ACCGGGGUCAAGUCAAGUGAUAGGCUACGAGCCGUGUUAUUUUUUCAAGGGAAAAGGCAAAAUCCCGAAUAUUGUGUUUUUGUUUACAUCAAUAAAAUGCAUAAUAUAAUUCUAGCUAAACGAUUUUUAUCCAUUAAAUCAUUUAUAUUGUUUUACGAUCAAAUAUUUCAGCUAAACCCGAGGAUUCCGUGCGACCUGUGGGAUAUAGGACGCUGAAUUUGCAGGCCGUAUACACAUUCUAAGCAGGAGCUUGUGUGUUUACUGAUUAUAAAAGUUAACUCAAGUUUUAUUAAAAACUCUUGUAAUAAUGGAAGAGGAGGAUGAGUUGGAGCUUACGCAAAAAGGGAAGCUUAUUAAGGUGCUAGAAGAGAAAAUCAAGAAACCUGAGAUUGAUGAUACUCUAAAAAAGGUUUUAGAUGAAUAUAACGAAAUAACCAGAAAAGAAACACCCUUUUUGGAUAACGGUGUUUUGGAACGUUUGAACUUCGCUGAAGAUGCCUUAGUGAUCCAAGCAUGCGGUCAAUACUAUGGCAAGUGUGUGGACAAACUCUGGGAUGAACUUUUACAGCUCCAUACCCGGAUGGUCAAAUAUGACGAGGUGACAGCCAAGAAUUGCACCGAUAGAAAAAAACAAGAAGAGCGACAAGAAGAAAUUUCUCGCCUAGAAGAACGAUUAAACAGAGGCAAAAGGAAGAAAAUUGUUCUCUCUAAACCUGAUGAGCAGUUACCUCCGAAAAAUGGGCAGCGACUUAUCGAUUUUCAGAUGAACAAUGAUGACCGCAUAGAAUUGUUCAGUAAGUGCACUUUGGAAAGGCACCAAAAAAUUGCUGCGGCUAGAGAUAAGGAGGAGAUUGAUUUUGAACGUCCUUUUGAUUUUAAUGCUGUAUAUGAGAUACCAAUUGUACCGUUCGAAGCUGAUGACGUUAAUGGUUUCUGGAAUCAGAUUUAUCAAGAUCAACUGCGAGAAUUGCAAAGGAACUAUAACUCAAUAAUCGUCAUUCAGUAUCACAAGUUGAGAAAUCGGUUUAAGCACCAUCUGAGGUUAAAUAUGGAGGAUGAGGUAUAUGACAUGGAUGAACCUGAAGAGCUUAACACUAGGAUAGGACGUCUUAUUUCUUAUCAACAUAUCAUAAACGAUUUUGAGGAUAACGACAAGUGUCUUUUGCCUGAUGACAAUUUGACUUUGGCUAAGUUAAGGCUGGCAGUAUACGCAAGAAAAAACUGGAUGUUAAAAAACAAUAUAACAAUGUACACUCCUUAUGAGGACUACAGAGAACGCUGGCUACAAUUUCGCAAAGAAUUCUUCGACAGAGAAAGACGAAAAAUUCAAAAUAUGCCCCAAAAUAGCUGCGAAGAGACCAUAUUGUUUUUCAAAGCUUUGGCAAAGAAGGAGCAGAUUGCUAGACAGAAAAUAGCAGAGUUAAAAGCACAAGGAAUUCCGGCAAAAGAACUACCCAGCAUCAAUUUUUAUGAUAUCAUCAUUAUGCCUGCCAGAGAUGACUAUGUUGGUCCACUGGACCCGUUUAUUCCUGAAGGUUUUGAUUUGCCACCGCCUCCUCGUAUGUUACUUUUUUCAAUUGAUUUAACUGAGUCAGAAACGGAAGUUUCUCAAGAACUCUCUGCGGUUCCAGCAGUUGAAGGGGAUCAAGGUGAUCAUGAGCCAGAGAUCAGUACUUUGCUUGAAAACGAACCAGAACAUCCUGACCCUAACGCUCAGGAAGGCGAUAAGCUGAGAUCCGAUUCUGGAUAUUUUGACGGUGGGUUUGAGGAUGAGGAGUCAAAUUCCGCAACUAAUAACAACAAUCAGUGCGAUACCCCUUUGGAAUUUGAUAAGGAACAUGUCGAUAAUAUAGAUAAAGCUACCACAGACAGUACAGAACCUGGAAAUCCGACUGGCAGCUCAGAAUCUGAAAAUCUCACAGGCAUCACAAAUCCCGACAAUCCCACGGGCAGUGCAGAACUUGAAAAUCCUACAGGCAGCCCAGAACCCUCUAACCCAGAGGAAGAAUCAGCUUCUGUUGAAAAUCAAAGUGCAUUCGAUGAAAAUCUAACUGAACUAGAUACAUCAUCUGAUGUAAUCAAAGACUCUUCUAAUUUCUCUGAAGAAAUAGCGGAUUCUUUACCAGAAUACGAUAGUGAAAAAAUGAACGCUCAAAUUAAAGAGUUCUCGCAACAAGCUUUAAUCGAACCGGAAGCGAUUUAUGACGCUUUAGAAGGUAGUUAUUUUCAUCAGGAUGGCGAUAUCAUUACUAUUGUUUAUAAUAAGCCUACUGUACGUGAAGAAGAAAAUGUCGAAGGGGAUUUUAUCAAACUUUUUGGCAACGAUGUGGAAUAUGAAACAGUAUAUCCCGAAAAUUAUCGUAGGAAACGGAAACUUGAAGACAGUGAACUUGAGCAAAAAGUCGAGACACGUAGACGAUUGUUAUUGAGUUGUGAAAAUUCAGAACCCUUAAAGAAGAUUAAGAAGUUAUCUAGUAAACAAGUGGAAAAGCUGAAGAUGAGUUUAAUUCCUGCCGUGAAAGAACCUAAAUGGGAUCAUUUUUAUUCGCUGAAUUACCAGACUGAAAGUGGAGAAGGUGAAAUAGUCCAAUUAGACUAUGAAUCAGACAAUGAUGAGGCUAACGAAGAUAACCAAUUGGACAAUGACAACGAUCAAGCCGAGAAUAAUGAAGUCACAGAUUUAAAUGUGUCUGGCUAUCAUAGCGAUGAUAAUGAGAAUCCUCAUUCCGAGAAUGACAGUCCGUUACCGGCUUCACAAGAUUCUGGGGUUAAUAUUGAUGCAACUAUCGAGGAAAUACAUGUGGUAAGAUGUCAAUCGGAAAGAGUGCCACAGUUAACACAACCAGCCGAAUUUGCUGACAUCUUACCUAAAAUAAUUCCUCAAGGUGACAGCGAACUGCAAACUGCUGAGGAUAUCGAGGCAGCCGCGGUCCUCGAAAGACUAUCUGAUCCAGCACAAAUUGAAGAUGUAAUAAGAGAAAGAGAAGAGUUACUGAAAAAUCAGCGAGAAGAAGAAUGGAGUUUGAUGAGCCCGCAAGCACGUGAAAGAGAACUAAUGAAAAAACGUGUGGCGGAAUGGACACAACAAAUGAAUCAAAAGCUGAAGAACGUAAAGGAGCAAGACUUCGAUAUUCACCAGUAUGGAUCGACUAUAAUGGAGUCUUUAACAAAAGAGCAACCGAAGCCGUUUAGUGAGUUUGUUGAGGGACAAUCUUCGUCGGAGGUUGUAAGAUUCUUUGUAUCAUCAUUGCAACUAGCAAAUACUAUGAAUGUAGAACUAUGUGGGGUCAAACAAGGUGAACUGUCCAAUGAUACGCUGGCCAUAAAACUUCUGAGUAAGGAAAGAUAUCACGAUCAUCUGCAAGAAUACCAAGCUCCCUCUGAAGAAACUUUGAGGGAAAGACUAAAGAGAGCUCGGGCCGAUUUGAAAAAUAGGGCUAAAGAACAAAAUCCUCCUUCAACUGAUUCGGCAAUGAUCCAAGAGAAUAAUAACGAGGAUCGACCGAGACAGAGAGGUAAAAGAGACCAAAAAAGACAGAAAACAAUGUCUCUGCCACACAAUAAUAAUAACGAUGAAUUCGUAAGACCGAAACUGCUUAGAAGACCUAGAGCACAAGUUCCCGAACUUUCAGAUGAAGAUGAAGAUCAACCCUUACAGGUCUAUAAACAUAAAAUGGUUAAUCAGUGCCAACAGCCUUGCUCAUCUAAACAGGCAGAUAUGAAGGAUUUGGAGAUUUUGACCGAACAAUGCCUAAAACGCAAGUCAACAAGCAAGAAAGCUCAUGACGCUUCACCUAUUGCUUCUCCGACUGGUCCAUCGCCGCAUAAAGUAAGAAUUUUGAACUUUAGCAUCUGCCAACGUUCCCAAGAAGAACUAAAUGUUGUGGGUUUUCACGAAUUUGAGGAGACUCAACCGUUGCCGUCUGGAAAUGACGAUCAAAAUGUCGUCGAAAUGGCCCUAUCUGAAAUCGCAGAGACACCAAACCGAUCAAGUACCGACAGUGGUUUCAUACCAUCGUGCGACGAAGAUUUCUUGGAACAGUUUGAUCAUUUCCAGCAAAUUAAUGAAAUGAAUGUACAGUCGACUCCUGUCAAGCAACGAAAACAAAUCAGGAUAAAAGUCGUAAAAAUGAAUACAAAUAGUCAGUAAGUUAACAAAUAUUUGGGCAACUGCUUAAUUUAGAAGCAAAGCUAGUAAUUAAUAAUUUUAUUAUAGUAUUAGGAUAAUAGAAUUUAAUUUUUAAAUGGUAUUAGGCAUAAGUUUCUGGUAGCGUUAGGGUAAUAUUGCAUACAUUUGCUUAAUAAAAAUGAUAUAGAUUUAAGCAACAUCUUGUAAACGAAAUAAGUGUAAAUAUAUUUUAUUUUUACAAAGGAUCAAACCUAUUUUGGUAGAAAAUGUGCAAAAUUAACCAAAAAGUAAAUCAUAGUUUAGAAGUCACUUUUGUCCAUCUAAACUGUCCGUUCUGUGAUGUCGUUUAUUCAAAGUUACUAUAGAGAAAACAACAAAUAAAAUUAUAUUAUCAGUAGGUGUAGACGUUAAGUGUUUUCAUGAUAUCUAUAAAGAAGCUUAAAGUUUUUCUUAUGUUAGAAAAGUUUCCGGAAUAGUUUCAAUUAAAACUAAAAAGGUUUUCAGCAAAUGUUUACAGGGUUUUCAUAAUUUUUAUUUUUAAAUGGCGGGAAUUUAUGUUAUUGCCUUUAAUAAAACUAUUCCUAAACAUCUCCUAUUUUUGUAUAGUGUAUAUACUUCAUACUUUCAAAAAGAAAAUGUACAUACACUUAAAUUUUUUAAAUUAUACUGGUAAAAUAUACUUAUACCGAAUUUGUUAAUAACAAUUUUGUCUUUAUUUUCUAUUGUCUAAACUUUACAUGAUUAAAGAAUUUUUUAUGAUUUAUUAUUUAAAAUUGAAUAUUUUUUUCAUUUUUAUAUAUACAUCAUCUAUAACAAAGUUGUUAUUAAUAUAUUAGCUUAAGUUAGAACUUAAAAGUAGUAUUUAUAGUCGUUGCCUAAAGCAUUUAGAAUUAUUAGCAAGGAACAUGAUUCUAAAAGCAUUAGUAUUUUUCCCAUUUGCAUAAAAGUAAUAAUUUAUAAUUUCUAUCUGGAUCUCGUCACAAUUAUAUAAUCAUGAAGUUACCAGUCUUUUAGAAGAUUCGUUCUUUAAUUUUAACAAAACUAAACAUUAUCUGAUUUUAUUUUGACUUCAGAAGAAAUUCAAAGAUUAAGGGAGACUUAAGGGUUUUCUUUGACUUUUUUUAAUUUUCGACAAUUUCCAUAACUGGAUUGUGGUUGUGUGACGUUAUAAUAGAAAUCCUAAAAUAUUACUCUUAUCUCAACGACUAUAAUUAGAUCAUUUAACAGUAAAAUAAGAUUAAAACGGUUGGUUUUUUAGAUUAUACAUGUGUUUAAAAUAGUCUUCCUUGCAAUAUUUUACAGGUUAUGCGUUGAUUAUACCAAACUCAGCUUUUUUAUUUUUUUUAUAUACUAUUCUGCUUUUAGUAUUAUUUUUUAUACAGUAGUUUUUUUAAAUUGUGUGUUUGGAAAACCACUUAAUAAAUAAUGGGAUUUUGAGGUUACAUCUCGGGUUUGAACCACAUGCUGACAAGGGAAAUUUGAAGGACUCAAAGCUGCUAAGUGCUAUAAAAAGCAAUAUCUGUACAUUUAUGAUUAUUAAACAUUUAUUAUUUACUAAUACCGCAUGGAACUUUAGUAAUUUUGUUGUUUUCUUAUACAAAACUUCUCUAAAGGUAUAACAGGGGAAAGAUAAAAUUACAAGGCUCUUGUUAACUUUAUUAUUACCUUUGUUUUUUUAUUCCUUAUAUCAAAAUAACUGUCCCUAGAGAAAGAGAGGACCUGAUUUAAAUUAGAAUCCAAAAAUUUGUAUAUUAAUUAAAUUUACGAUUGUGGCCAAAAAUAGGAUAAAAAGUUAUAUAAAACUCGUUUAUUACGCGAAAUAUCAAAGAUUUAUUUUAAAAAAUAAUUAAAAUUAAUAGCAAAUGCUUCAACAAAAAUAUGGAAAUUAUAACGUUACAUUUCAUAGCACAGCAUUUGACGCACGCACGCGCUGAUAAUCGCUGCUCAUAGACGAUUCAUUAUCCACGAUGAGAAAAAUCGCUAGAAAUAUUCUGUCAACCGUUUUCAAAUAUUUUAAAUAAUCAUGGAUCUUUAUUUGAAAUAUUUAACCUUACAAUUUAAAUUAAAGCGAAAGAACACAAAAUAAAUUUUCACAAAUUCACCUCAAUUAGUUUUAUUCUACUUUUCUCCGCUAUGUAGCAAAUAACUUCACUGCUUUGUUUCUCGUAACUAAAACAAAUGCCUAAUUGCAGCUGGAUUUAACUAAUCUAUUUGAACGCGUUUACUAUAUAAACUGAACUAUUCAGUGGUAAACUACUUGAAGUUUCCUAACUUUUGGCCAGAACAAAAGCUUAUAUUUUUAAUGAAUACCUAGAUAAAUGUAUAAUCUUAUAUUUAUAGCAUAUGAUUUUACUAUUAAGUCUCCAUACUUUUGGCCACCACUAUAUAUAUUUUUUAAGACAAUUCUGUCACUCUUGGGAACUAGAAAAUAUUCCUCAAAAAAUAAAUUUAGGUGAUUUAGUAGAUUUUAAAAUUAUUUGUAGCGGAAAUAUUUUAGAAAAUUAAUUUUCCAGUAGCUUAUUAAAAAUGGGCGGUGUUCUGGUAAUGUUUAUUGAUUGAGACAUAUAUAGCGAUUCCAAUUUCUGCCUUGAAAAUUAAAAAGAAUUAUUUAUGCACCAUCCUGUAGCUUCCCUAUACACCUUUAAGUGUUUUUCCAAUCAUUAUUUUAAAACAAUUCCUGCAUGAUUUUUUUUUCUUAUCAUUUUUAAUUUACUCUUCAUUUUAAUGUUUAGGAAGAAAAUGUAAUGCUUAUCUUUAAUUAGUCUUAAAUAUAUUCAGUUCAUAUAGCUUAA
rnacentral:misc_RNA from 1 species